rnacentral:rRNA from 1 species
CCUCGGGCGGCAGCAGUAGGGAAUCUUCCACAAUGGACGAAAGGCUGAUGGAGCAACGCCGCGUGAGUGAAGAAGGGUUUCGGCUCGUAAAGCUCUGUUGGUAGUGAAGAAAGAUAGAGGUAGUAACUGGCCUUUAUUUGACGGUAAUUAAUUAGAAAGUCACGGCUAACUACGUGCAGGCAGCCGAGGUAAGACGGAGGUGGCAAGAGUUGUCCGGAUUUAUUGGGCGGAAAGCGAGUGUAGGCGGUUAAAUAAGUCUGAUGUGAAAGCCUUCGGCUCAACCGGAGAAUUGCAUCAGAAACUGGUGAACUUGAGUGCAGAAGAGGAGAGAGGAACUCCUUGUGUAGCGGUGGAAUGCGUAGAUAUAAGGAAGAACACCAGUGGCGAAGGCGGCUCACUGGACUGCAACUGACGCUGAGGCUCGAAAGCAUGGGUAGCGAACAGGAUUAGAUACCCGUGUAGUC